rnacentral:lncRNA from 1 species
AAAAAACCACAAUCCCGCAUAACAGUACACGUGACAAAAUAAUAUAAAAUACUAAAAUAAUAUAAAUUUUUUUCAUCUUCGUUACGACGAGCUAUACUUCGAACAGACAUAUUAAUACAAGAACAAUAACAAAAGGAACUAACUAAAGGCAUUAUGAUGAAGGUAAUAACUUAGGUAGGAAAAGAUCAAGGGUUUUUGAGGGCAUUGCAAUUUGGGUCGUAAUCAUAGUAAAAGCAAUCACAAAUAUGAGUAUUAUAGCAAAAGCCACUGGUAAAUCCCAAUUCAGCAUGUGCAUACUUCUGAAUACACAAAUUAUAGCAUUCCGGUGAGGUGCAAUGUUCAACGGUUUCUCUUGCUUCACAAUAAUGAACAUCAGGUCUUGCCGUCGCUAAUAAUAAUCCACAAUAAUCUGCACCAACAAACAUAUAUAUGCAUGUAAUCUUCAUGUAAUAUUUUUUAUUUAUUUAUUGCAAUUGUACAAUAGUGUAUAUGUAUUAUUACAUACCAGAGUCAAAGAAGAGGAGAAGAAGCAAAACAAUGAUAAAUCUUGGCAGAGUUUGCUUCUUCAUUGUUCCCGGCUUCA